rnacentral:rRNA from 10 species
UCGUAACAAGGUUUCCGUAGGUGAACCAGCGGAGGGAUCAUU